rnacentral:rRNA from 1 species
AGAAUCAACGCUGGCGGCGUGCCUAACACAUGCAAGUCGCACGAGAAAGGGGAGCAAUCCCUGAGUAAAGUGGCGCACGGGUGAGUAACACGUGAAUCAUCUACCUCCGAGUGGGGAAUAACCUAGAGAAAUCUGGGCUAAUACCGUAUAACACUUACGAGUCAAAGCAGCAAUGCGCUUGGAGAGGAGUUCGCGGCCGAUUAGUUAGUUGGCGGGGUAAUGGCCCACCAAGACGAUGAUCGGUA